GCGGCUGUGGCGGAAUUGGCAGACGCGCUACUUUGAGGGGGUAGUGAUCUUUCGAUCGUGUGAGUUCAAGUCUCACCAGCCGCA
rnacentral:tRNA from 1 species